rnacentral:rRNA from 1 species
UACGGAGGGGACUAGCGUUGUUCGGAAUUACUGGGCGUAAAGCGCACGUAGGCGGAUUGUUAAGUCAGGGGUGAAAUCCCGAGGCUCAACCUCGGAACUGCCUUUGAUACUGGCGAUCUUGAGGCAUUCAGGGGCGAGCGGAACAAGUGGUGGAGCGGUGAAAUGCGUAGAUAUCACUUGGAACGCCAAUGGUGAAAACAGCUCGCUGGGAAUGAUCUGACACUGAGACGCGAAAGCCAGGGGAGCGAACGGG